UACGUAGGGUGCAAGCGUUAAUCGGAAUUACUGGGCGUAAAGCGUGCGUAGGCGGUUUGUUAAGACAGGUGUGAAAUCCCCGGGCUUAACCUGGGAAUUGCGCUUGUUACUGGCAGACUAGAGUACGUCAGAGGGGGGUGGAAUUCCACGUGUAGCAGUGAAAUGCGUAGAGAUGUGGAGGAACACCGAUGGCGAAGGCAGCCCCCCUGGGAUGAUACUGACGCUCAGGCACGAAAGCGUGGGGGAGCAAACAGG
rnacentral:rRNA from 1 species